rnacentral:rRNA from 1 species
CAGCAGCCGCGGUAAUACGAAGGGGGCUAGCGUUGCUCGGAAUUACUGGGCGUAAAGGGCGCGUAGGCGGUUUGGCAAGUUUGGUGUGAAAUCUUCGGGCUCAACUCGAAGUCUGCAUCGAAAACUGCCGGGCUUGAGUAUGGGAGAGGUGAGUGGAAUUUCCGGUGUAGCGGUGAAAUGCGUAGAUAUUGGAAGGAACACCUGUGGCGAAAGCGGCUCACUGGACCAUAACUGACGCUGAUGCACGAAAGCUAGGGGAGCAAACAGGAUUAGAUACCCCCGUAGUCCCUGUCUCUUAUAC